rnacentral:lncRNA from 1 species
AGUCUCACGGCAUUCCGAGUCCGGCGGACGAAGUGGGCCAGACCUACCCCCCAAGGCUAUAGCCCACCCGUUUUUGUGGCCUUUUCCCGCUGGACGAACUUGGCGCCCCGGCCUUCGGGCGGUUAUUUUUGGGUGCGGACUUGCCCGCGGCCUAUUUUUGGCACACGGAGGCCCCUCGCAAGGUCUUGCGGCAUUCCGAGUCCGGCGGACGAAGUAGGCCAGCCCCACCCCCCAAGGCUAUAGCCCACCCGUUUUUGUGGCCUUUUUCCGCUGGACGAACUUGGCGCCCCUGCCUUCGGACGGUUAUUUUCAGGCGCAGCUUUGCUCGCAUCCUAUUUUUGGCACACGGAGGCCCCUCGCAAAGUCUCGCGGCAUUCCGAGUCCGGCGGACGAAGUUGGCAAGCCCCACCCCCCAAGGCUAUAGCCCACCCGUUUUUGUGGCCUUUUUCCGCCGGACGAACUUGGCGCGCCGGCCUUCGGACGGUUAUUUUCGGGCGCGGCUUUGCCCGUGGCUUAUUUUUGGCACACGGAGGCCCCUCGCAAAGUCUCGCGGCAUUCCGAGUCCGGCGGACGAAGUUGGCCAGCCCCACCCGCCAAGGCUAUAGCCGACCCGUUUUUGUGGCCUUUUUCCGCUGGACGAACUUGGCGCCCCGGCCAUCGGGCAGUUUUUUUUGGGCGCGGCUUUGCCCGCGGCCUAUUUUUGUCACAAGGAGGCCCCUCGCAAAGUCUCACGGCAUUCCGAGUCCGGCGGACGAAGUGGGCCAGACCUACCCCCCAAGGCUAUAGCCGACCCGUUUUUGUGGCCUUUUUCCGCUGGACGAACUUGGCACCCCGGCCAUCGGGCAGUUAUUUUUGGGCGCGGCUUUGUCCGCAGCCUAUUUUUGGCACACGGAGGCCCCUCGCAAAGUCUCGCGGCAUUCCGAGUCUGGCGGACGAAGUUGGCCAGCCCCACCCCCCAAGGCUAUAGCCCACCCGUUUUUGUGGCCUUUUUCCGCUGGACGAACUUGGCGCGCCGGCCUUCGGACGGUUAUUUUUGGGCGCGGCUUUGCCCGCGGCUUAUUUUUGGCACACGGAGGCCCCUCGCAAAGUCUCGCGGCAUUCCGAGUCCGGCGGACGAAGUUGGCCAGCCCCACCCCCCAAGGCUAUAGCCCACCCGUUUUUGUGGCCUUUUUCCGCUGGACGAACUUGGAGACCUGGCCUUCGGGCGGUUAGUUUUGGGCGCGGCUUUGCCCGCGGCAUAUUUUUGUCCCACGGAGGCCCCUCGUAAAGUCUCGUGGCAUUCCGAGUCCGGCGGACGAAGUUGGCCAGCCCCACCCCCCAAGGCUAUCGCCCACCCGUUUUUGUGGCCUUUUACCGCUGGACGAACUUGGCGCCCCGGCCUUCGGGUGGUUAUUUUUAGGCGCGGCUUUGCCCGCAGAUUAUUUAUGGCACACGGAGAUCCCUCGCAAAGUCUCACGGCAUUCCGAGUCCGGCGGACGAAGAUGGCCAGCCCCACCCCCCAAGGCUAUAGCCCACCCGUUUUUGUGGCCUUUUUCCGCCGGACGAAUUGGGCGCCCCGGCCUUCGGGCGGUUCUUUUUGGGCGCGGCUUUGCCCGCGGCCUAUUUUUGGCACACGGAGGCCCGUCGCAAAGUCUCGCGGCAUUCUGAGUCCGGAGGACGAAGUCGGCCAGCCCCACCCCCCAAGGCUAUAUCCCACCCGUUUUUGUGGCCUUUUUCCGCUGGACGAACAUGGCGACCCGGUCUUCGGGCGGUUAUUUUUGGGUGCGGCUUCGCCCGUGGCCUAUUUUUGGGAUACGGAGGCCCCUCGCAAAGUCUCGCGGCAUGCCGAGUCCGGCGGACGAAGUGGGCCAGCCCCACCCCCCAAGGCUAUAGCCCACCCGUUUUUGUGGCCUUUUUCCGCUGGACGAACUUGGCGCCCCGGCCUUCGGGCGGUUUUUUUUGGGCGCGGCUUUGCCCGCGGCCUAUUUUUGUCACAAGGAGGCCCCUCGCAAAGUCUCACGGCAUUCCGAGUCCGGCGGACGAAGUGGGCCAGACCCACCCCCCAAGGCUAUAGCCCACCCGUUUUUGUGGCCUUUUUCCGCUGGACGAAUUUGGCGCCCCGGCCUUCGGACGGUUAUUUUCGGGCGCGGUUUUGCCCGCGGNN